AUUCCAGGCUCUGUGAACUAAGUGACUGAAGCUGAUUGACACAGGUCAAGGGGACUUCAAGGAAGAAAGCCAGCCUUAGACUGACAUCAGAGAACCAAACUCCGGUGUCUAAGCUCAAGAAUAGCACCAGCUGAGCAUGGUGGCCCAGGUCUGCAAAUCAUAGCUGCAAGAGAGGCUAAGACAGGAAGAUAUUAUUGCUCCUGCUUCCUGACCUGCUUGAGUUCCAGUCCUGACCUCCUUUGGUGAUGAACAGCAAUGUGGAAGUUUCCUGCCUUGACUUCUCUACAAUAAUGGACUGUAACCGAGAAUGGAAAGCCAAAGAAAGUCCUUCCUCUUCUAAGCUGCUCUUGGUCGUGGUGUUUCAUCACAACAACAGAAGAGAACCUAGGACAAUCACCUUACCUGUGAGAGCGAGGAGCCUAUGCAGGUGUGAAGACCUGCUCUGAUCAUUUGAAGUAAUACAAGUAAUUGGGAAGACACUGGCUCAGAGCCUGUCUCUGGUGACCACUGAAUUGUCCAGCACCUGAGGUCCCUGGAGCCCACGGACUGAGCCCAUCUGGGCUAAAAGAGGUCCCAUACAUCCUUCUCAAAGGCCUAUAUAAAUGCCAAGCAGAGUUAUAGCAGGAGGUUAGAAUCCUGAGAACUGUUUGGAAUAAGGAAUCCAAAUAUUGUCUUCCAGCUUCACCUUGUCACGACAGUCCUCGCCAGGGACAGCUGAGCAUCUACAUCUCCAUUUAUGCCGUGUGCACGCAGUACCAACAGAGGUCAGAGGAGGGUGUCGGAUCCCCUGGAACUGGAGUCACAGAUUCUUCCUUGCGUGGAUGAAACAGUCCCAACGAACACUUUAAAAAGACAAAUGUUCCCGACAGCACUGGUUGAAUUCAAAACUCGGCAGAUCCAUGUUCUUAUCCUUAGACAAGAGAGGGGCCAUAACAAGAUGGAAUGACGGAACAGACGUGAGAGAUGAUGGUACAGUGACUCGGGUAACCCCAGAAAAGGGACAGCUCUUCUACAGCUCAGUGGGGACAGGGACAAAAAGAAACAAUUUCAUUUCAGUCCACCCAGAGGGUCUGCACUUCUCGGAGCCAGAAGGUGGAGAAGAGUAGGGAUGGAGGAAGUUCGAAGUUUUAGGAGUCUGCUCUUGGGUCCCUAGGCAUGAGGACAAGCUUUUCCUGUACUCAAUGCUCAUCUCUCAGUUGUGCCCACAUUGGUACACAUUACUUGCUUUCAACUGCUGCUGCUGCUGUUUCCUAAUUCAAUAAAGAUAUGGCUGGCUCAGCAGA
rnacentral:lncRNA from 1 species